UCAAUACCAUUAUUAUGGGUGCUAUCCUAAUGAUGUAAGGAAAGCCUAGCAUGUGUCAAUCUCAAUUUGUCUAUUGAUGACAAACGUAUCACAGGGUUAUAAUGCAAAGCAUGGGUCAUGCUCUUUUACCACUAAUGAUCUUGUCAUAUGUGUUACAUGACUUACAAAGAUUAUAAAGAAAAGAAGAGUAAAGUAAAGAAAAGUACGUAAUGUAUACGAUUCCACAAGUGAUGCAGUGAAGAUGGAGGCAAGGAAUGGGUGGGAGUAUAAAUGGAUUCUAGUAUAAGCCUUACACAUAGGCAAUUAGCUUAUUUAAUAGCAUAUUCAGAGGAAAUAUGAUGAAGAUGAAUUGAGAACAAGCUAUAAGAUAAGGUAAGUAGACAAGCGGAUAAAAAUUUGAAGAUCAGAUGACCCUCAGGUGUCGUAAUCACACUCCGAGGGUCGUAAACCCAGUCGGAAUUCAAGUCAAACUUUGCCGAUCGCAAUAUGACAACCACAAUUAUGGGAGUCAUGAAUGCAAUAAAUAGAUGGCAAUCGUAAUAGAGUGUAAAUUUUGCAAGGGAAGAAUUGGAAUUUCAUAGAGUUGGAUCCCAAAUUAUAAAAUGGCAAAAACCUUUAACAUUUGGGCAUCUAUCUUUCAUCUAAUUUUAGUUUGGAGAGAAAAAACACUCUAAUUUUGAGUUGAGAGAACAAUUUGCUAAUUUUAUUCUAAGAGAUUCUAGUAUUAAAUUAUUGAGAGCUUGGGUUUAAUCUUA